UGGGGGUGUGCAUGAAGAUGUUCCAUGAAGAGUUUUGGCUAGUCUUUUUUCAUGAGUAGGAUUCUUUUCUGGAUAAAAGUUUGAAUCCUAAACUCCUUAGGACAUUGGAUCAGAUUUGGAUGCCUCAGCUAUUUAAGGAGGGACCCAACCAACCAAUGGAGACGUGAAACCUUUUAUGCAACAUAAAGGAAAAGACCACCAUGAGAAAUAAAAAAGGAGAGCGGAUGCGGAUUUAUUUUUGGGUGUAAAGAUCCCUUGGGUGUUCUUCUUUUGUGCG
rnacentral:lncRNA from 1 species